CGGCGAUGAUGUUGCAACCCAAAGCGGGCACCUCUCUGAGUCUGAAAAACGUGUUUGGACACUGUCUUUCUGUAAACUUGAUAACUCUAAAACGCUUUGAACUUGAUGAGUGAAAUUUGCCAUGUCUCGCUUAGGAGAAUUUCUGCUUGACUCGUACACGAAUGGAACAUUUGGUUUCUGGUCCUUCAUUGCUAUGAUUCUGUUUGUGAUCUCUGUACUUAUAUUUGAACCGAAAUAUUAUGCCAGACGGAUAUACUCUGGAAAACAAGAUUUUAUGUUCUGUUUCUUGAUGUACAGCUGUAUUUGCCUAUAUCUCGAAGUUAUAGAUAGUUAUUUUAUGAGCCUUUUAGCAACAAUACCACAAAUACUUAUAAUUUGGAACCGCAUAGUUGUAUACAAACACUGCUGGAUGUGUACGUUACAGUACUUCAUUUUGUGCGUUAUUUCUGAUUAUUUUCUCUUACACUGGUCGUGCUUACUAUUUGUGUCACUUCAGAUAUUUGCUUUAUACACUUUUGACCGUAAAGGCUACUUAGGCAUUGAUUAAAUAUCUGUUCAUUUUAAAAUGUCAAUGUAAUUACCUUUUUUUGCUUUCGAUUUUGACAAAUUUUGUAUGAUUAAAUCUACUUUGUAACAUUUUAUAUUUCAUGUAAUUAAUAAAAAAAAAUGUUUGACAGUA